rnacentral:rRNA from 1 species
AACGAACGCUGGCGGCAUGCCUAACACAUGCAAGUCGAACGAGACAUUCGGGUCUAGUGGCGCACGGGUGAGUAACGCGUGGGAAUCUGCCCUUGGGUCUGGAAUAACAGCUAGAAAUGACUGCUAUUACCGGAUGAUGCCUUCGGUCCAAAGAUUUAUCGCCCAGGGAUGAGCCCGCGUCGGAUUAGCUAGUUGGUAAGGUAAAAGCUCACCAAGGCGACGAUCCGUAGCUGGUCUGAGAGGAUGAUCAGCCACACUGGGACUGAGACACGGCCCAGACUCCUACGGGAGGCAGCAGUGGGGAAUAUUGGACAAUGGGCGAAAGCCUGAUCCAGCAAUGCCGCGUGAGUGAUGAAGGCCUUAGGGUUGUAAAGCUCUUUUACACGGGAUGAUAAUGACAGUACCGGGAGAAUAAGCCCCGGCUAACUCCGUGCCAGCCGCCGCAGUAACAC